GUAGUCCACGCCGUAAACUAUGGAUGCUAGCUGUUAGAAGUAUCGACCCUUCUAGUAGCGAAGCUAACGCGUUAAGCAUCCCGCCUGUGGAGUACGGUCGCAAGACUAAAACAUAAAGGAAUUGACGGGGACCCGCACAAGCGGUGGAGCGUGUUGUUUAAUUCGAUGGUAAGCGAAGAACCUUACCCAGGUUUGACAUCCUUGGAAUUUUGCCGAAAGGCGAGAGUGCUUUAUUGAGCCAAGUGACAGGUGAUGCAUGGCCGUCGUCAGCUCGUGUCGUGAGAUGUUUGGUUAAGUCCAUCAACGAGCGCAACCCUUAUAGUUAGUUGAAUUUUUCUAGCUAGACUGCCCUGGUAACAGGGA
rnacentral:rRNA from 1 species